CCUAGGGUGGCAGCAGUGGGGAAUAUUGGACAAUGGGGGCAACCCUGAUCCAGCCAUGCCGCGUGUGUGAAGAAGGCCCUCGGGUUGUAAAGCACUUUCAGUGAGGAAGAACGCCUGGUGGUUAAUACCCAUCAGGUAAGACAUCACUCACAGAAGAAGCACCGGCUAACUCCGUGCCAGCAGCCGCGGUAAUACGGAGGGUGCGAGCGUUAAUCGGAAUUACUGGGCGUAAAGCGCGCGUAGGUGGCUUGAUAAGCCGGUUGUGAAAGCCCCGGGCUCAACCUGGGAACGGCAUCCGGAACUGUCCAGCUGGAGUGCAGGAGAGGAAGGUAGAAUUCCCGGUGUAGCGGUGAAAUGCGUAGAGAUCGGGCGGAAUACCAGUGGCGAAGGCGGCCUUCUGGACUGACACUGACACUGAGGUGCGAAAGCGUGGGUAGCAAACAGGAUUAGAUACCCUAGUAGUC
rnacentral:rRNA from 1 species